rnacentral:rRNA from 1 species
GAGUUUGAUCCUGGCUCAGAUUGAACGCUGGCGGCAUGCCUUACACAUGCAAGUCGAGCGGCAGCGCGGGGGCAACCCUGGCGGCGAGCGGCGAACGGGUGAGUAAUACAUCGGAACGUGUCCUGUCGUGGGGGAUAACCAGUCGAAAGAUUGGCUAAUACCGCAUGACCUCGUAAGAGAAAAGCGGGGGACCGUAAGGCCUCGCGCGACUGGAGCGGCCGAUGUCGGAUUAGCUAGUUGGCGGGGUAAAAGCCCACCAAGGCGACGAUCCGUAGCUGGUUUGAGAGAACGACCAGCCACACUGGGACUGAGACACGGCCCAGACUCCUACGGGAGGCAGCAGUGGGGAAUUUUGGACAAUGGGGGCAACCCUGAUCCAGCCAUGCCGCGUGUGUGAAGAAGGCCUUC